rfam:Clostridiales bacterium CHKCI006 isolate CHKC6 genome assembly, contig: {contig65}
AUUGGCGCAAUCAAUAUUCCCAAGACAGUAACGGCCAAUGGCUUAAUCAGGUUACCGAGGUGUUGAUUCAUCAAACACGAUGAAUGAAGUCCAUGCCUUGGUAUGGGCUUUUCUAUGUGGAUAU